GACUGUUAAGAUUCUGUAAUUCUGAAUCAUAAUAAAUAAUUUAUGCUUCUAGUCACUGGAAAAUGACAAGAUGAGACUUGAGAAAGAUUUAUCAUUCAAAGAAACUCAAAUAAAAGAGUAUGAAGAACUCUUGGCAUCGGUGAGAGCAAAUAAUCACCAGCAGAAGCAAGGACUUCAAGACUCAAGUUCAAAAUGCCAGGCACUGGAAGAAAACAAUCUCUCUCUUCGACAUACACUAUCAGACAUGGAAUACAGACUAAAAGAACUGGAAUAUUGUAAACGUAAUUUAGAGCAAGAGAAUCAAAACCUUAGAAUGCAGGUAUUAAAACUUCCUUUUAAAUAUACAGUAUUACCUUAGUUACAUCAUUGUAAUCC
rnacentral:lncRNA from 1 species